rnacentral:ncRNA from 1 species
UUUCCGAAAGGGUAAUCUGGAAGAAAUUCCAGUGACACAAAGCAUACGGAUCUGUUAUUAACUAACAGAUAGCCGGGCUGCCGAA